GUGCCAGCCGCCGCGGUAAUACCGGCAGCCCGAGUGAUGGCCGAUCUUAUUGGGCCUAAAGCGUUCGUAGCUGGCCGGACAAGUCCGUUGGGAAAUCCACGCGCUCAACGCGUGGGCGUCCAGCGGAAACUGUCCGGCUUGGGGCCGGAAGACCCGAGGGGUACGUCCAGGGUAGGAGUGAAAUCCUGUAAUCCUGGACGGACCGCCGGUGGCGAAAGCGCCUCGGGAGGACGGACCCGAUAGUGAGGGACGAAAGCCAGGGUCUCGAACCGGAUUAGAUACCCGAGUAGUCC
rnacentral:rRNA from 1 species